UCAGAUUGAACGCUGGCGGCAUGCCUUACACAUGCAAGUCGAACGGCAGCGCGGGAGCAAUCCUGGCGGCGAGUGGCGAACGGGUGAGUAAUAUAUCGGAACGUGCCCUAGAGUGGGGGAUAACUAGUCGAAAGAUUAGCUAAUACCGCAUACGAUCUAUGGAUGAAAGUGGGGGAUCGCAAGACCUCAUGCUCGUGGAGCGGCCGAUAUCUGAUUAGCUAGUUGGUGGGGUAAAAGCCUACCAAGGCCACGAUCAGUAGCUGGUCUGAGAGGACGACCAGCCACACUGGGACUGAGACACGGCCCAGACUCCUACGGGAGGCAGCAGUGGGGAAUUUUGGACAAUGGGCGCAAGCCUGAUCCAGCAAUGCCGCGUGUGUGAAGAAGGCCUUCGGGUUGUAAAGCACUUUUGUCAGGAACGAAACGGUCUGGGCUAAUAUCCCGGACUAAUGACG
rnacentral:rRNA from 1 species